UACGUAGGUGGCAAGCGUUGUCCGGAAUUAUUGGGCGUAAAGCGCGCGCAGGCGGUCCUUUAAGUCUGAUGUGAAAGCCCACGGCUCAACCGUGGAGGGUCAUUGGAAACUGGGGGACUUGAGUACAGAAGAGAAGAGUGGAAUUCCACGUGUAGCGGUGAAAUGCGUAGAGAUGUGGAGGAACACCAGUGGCGAAGGCGACUCUUUGGUCUGUAACUGACGCUGAGGCACGAAAGCGUGGGGAGCAAACAGG
rnacentral:rRNA from 1 species